GACGUAGGGCGCGAGCGUUGUCCGGAUUUAUUGGGCGUAAAGAGCUCGUAGGCGGCUUGUUACGUCGACUGUGAAAACCCGCGGCUCAACCGUGUGGUCUGCAGUCGAUACGGGCAGGCUAGAAUUCGGUAGGGGAGACUGGAAUUCCUGGUGUAGCGGUGAAAUGCGCAGAUAUCAGGAGGAACACCGGUGGCGAAGGUGGGUCUCUGGGCCGAUAUUGACGCUGAGGAGCGAAAGCGUGGGGAGCAAACAGG
rnacentral:rRNA from 1 species